rfam:Schistosoma haematobium scaffold712_27, whole genome shotgun sequence.
AUUCAGCUGACGAGUCCCAAAUAGGACAAAACGUACGUUAUAGAU